rnacentral:lncRNA from 1 species
AUGAUCCCUCUGUCAACAAUCUUACAAAAAACAAAUCUCGGCUAUCAAAUAUCUAAGAAUUCUCACAAAAUUUCACAUUUGAUGUACAUGGAUGACCUGAAGCUAUAUGGGAAAACGGAAACUGAAAUCCAGUCUCUGACCAACACUGUCCGAAUUUUUAGCACUGAUAUCAACAUGGAGUUUGGUUUGGACAAAUGUUCGACAGUGGCAUUGAAGAAGGGAAAAAUCAUUGAAAGUGAGGGCAUAAAUAUGCCCAAUGGCCAAACAAUAAAGUCUCACCAGCCAGAGGCCUAUAAAUAUCUGGGCAUACUACAGCUGGACAACAUCAAGCAUGAACAUGUGAAAACUGUGGUCAGCAAAGAAUACACACAAAGGGUCAGAAAAAUUCUCAAAAGCAAGCUCAAUGGAGGCAACACCAUCAAGGCCAUAAACACCUGGGCCAUACCUGUCAUAAGAUAUACUGCUGGCAUUAUAAAUUGGACACAGGUGGAACUGGACAAUUUGGACAGAAAAACAAGAAAACUCAUGACCAUUCAUCAUUCACUGCACCCUCGCUGUGAUGUUGACCGGCUAUAUCUGCCUAGAAGAUCAGGGGGCAGAGGACUCUUACAAGUAAAGCAAGCAGUCAAAGAAGAAGAACAUGCCCUGGCAGAAUAUGUCAAGCAAAGUGAAGAACCUGCUUUGAUUGAAGUCAAAAAUCAGAAACUCCUCAAAACACAGCAGACAAAAAACCAGUACAAGAAAACCGCACUACAAACUAGAGCUGACAGCUGGCACAACAAAACACUGCAUGGAAAGUUCCUUGACAAAAUUGAAGGAAAAGCUGAUAAGGAGAAGACCUGGCUCUGGCUCACGAAUGGGACCCUGAAGAAGGAGACAGAAGGCCUGAUCCUUGCAGCCCAGGAGCAAGCCAUCAGAACAAAUGCAAUUAAGGCCAAGAUUGAAAAAUCAGCUGAUGACCCAAAAUGCAGACUGUGCAAGGAAACCGACAAAACCAUUGAUCAUAUCCUCAGCUGCUGUAAGAAAAUCGCACAGACAGACUACAAACAGAGGCACAACUAUGUGGCCCAAAUGAUUUGGAACUUAUCAUUGGAACUUAUGCCUCAAGUACCACCUCCCAGCAGCAAAGAACUGGUGGGAUCACAAACCUGCAAAAGUAUUGGAAAAUGA